UUCGCUACUACAAUGGUAUCUUCUGAAUUGGGUCAGGUUGGGAACAAAGCAGCCCUAAGGGAGCUCUAUCAUGUGUAGUAGUUUUUUUU
rnacentral:SRP_RNA from 1 species